UACAGAGGUCCCAAGCGUUGUUCGGAUUCACUGGGCGUAAAGGGUGCGUAGGUGGUGAGGUAAGUCGGAUGUGAAAUCUCCGAGCUCAACUCGGAAAUGGCAUUGGAAACUACCUUGCUCGAGGGUUGGAGGGGGGACUGGAAUGCUUGGUGUAGCAGUGAAAUGCGUAGAUAUCAAGCGGAACACCAGUGGCGAAGGCGAGUCCCUGGACAACUCCUGACACUGAGGCGCGAAAGCUAGGGGAGCGAACGGG
rnacentral:rRNA from 1 species